rnacentral:misc_RNA from 1 species
GCAAACUUGGUCAUUUAGAGGAAGUAAAAGUCGUAACAAGGUCUCCGUUGGUGAACCAGCGGAGGGAUCAUUAUCGAGUUAUUCAACUCCCAAACCCUAUGUGAACUUACCACUUGUUGCUUCGGCGCGCGCUUCGGCGCCGCCGAGGACACUUAAACUCUUUGUUUUUAUAAGCAUUUCUGAGUGGCCGAAAGGCAAAAAUACAAAUGAAUCAAAACUUUCAACAACGGAUCUCUUGGUUCUGGCAUCGAUGAAGAACGCAGC